rnacentral:rRNA from 1 species
GCCAGCACCCAUAUCAACCUGCAGCUCUUAACUGGCUACCCCUCUGAAGCUCAGCAGGGUUGAGCCUGGCCAGUACCUGGAUGGGAGACCUCCUGGGAAGCUAUGGUUGCUGCUGGAA